AAAGUCCAGAAACCCUCUGCCCAGAGCUCUUCCCUCCCCUCCUUCUGUCUCGCCAGUUCUGGCGUGUUCCAGAUUGGGUAAGCAAUCGUUUGUGGAAAAACCAAGGGAAACCAAGCCAACCGAAGCCAAACCCACCAGCUAAGGGAAAGUGUUAGUGAAGAAAUCUCUGAUUCGUGAGCCAUAGUUGAGGAGAUAUCACCCCACAAUUAAGAGUCCUUUUUAGUAAUUUUGCAGGUAUUGUGUAAGCUCGGAUGUGGAUUACAGAUGUGAUUGAGGAAGGAAUAAUUUUGCUGAAAUGUUUUGAGGCCAUCAAAGAUUAUGAUAGGUUAAGAUCUCUUGUGUAUUUAUAUUUGAUUAUAAGGGAUAAUUCAGGUUUUAUUUUGUAAAUUGGAUUCUAAGUGUAAUUA